GACGAACGCUGGCGGCGUGCUUAACACAUGCAAUUCGAACGAAGUGGCGGACUGGUUAGUAAUGCCUAUGAAUCUGCCUGGUAGUGGGGGAUAACGUCCGGAACCGGGCGCUAAUACCGCAUUCUAUCAGCUGAGUCUAGGUCGGACUAGCUAGUUGGUGGGGUAAAGGCCUACCAAGGCGACGAUCCGUAACUGGUCUGAGAGGAUGAUCAGUCACACGGAAACUGAGACACGGGCCAGACUCCUACGGGAGGAAGCAGUGGGGAAUAUUGGACAAUGGGCGAAAGCCUGAUCCAGCCAUGCCGCGUGUGUGAAGAAGGUCUUCGGAUUGUAGAGCACUUUAAGUUGGGAGGCGUGACCAACAGAAUAAGCACCGGCUAACUUCGUGCCAGCCGCCGCGGUAAUAC
rnacentral:rRNA from 1 species